rnacentral:lncRNA from 1 species
CUCCCACAGCUGUCCAAUUGUGCAGCCUCCAAUGAAAUCCACACAGAGAGAAGACAACAACUGCUAGGGUUUCUUUCUUGUGCUAGCAAGAAUAAUGAAUAACUUUUUGGACCUCAAACCCUAGCUGCAUAUAUAUAUAAACCCAAACGGACCCGGCCCGGUCCGGUCCAAUAUUUAAUUAAUCCAAUUAAUCAAACCCGGUCCGUGAAUUAAUUAAUCCAAUUAAUUAAUUCGGGAUUAUAAAUAAGAAAUUCAAUUAAUUAAUUUAUCCAACGAUUGUUAAAUUAAUCAAUUAACAAUUUGCAGUCUUCCAAUUCUCUUUUGUGUGCGACCCAUUAGGUUCCCGACCACGAUG